GACGAACGCUGGCGGCGUGCUUAACACAUGCAAGUCGAACGGUGAAGCGCCUUCCUUUUUGGUGGGUGUGGAUGAGUGGCGAACGGGUGAGUAACACGUGAGUAACCUGCCCCCUUCUUCUGGAUAACCGCAUGAAAGUUUGGCUAAUACGGGAUAUUCUGGGUCUGUCGCAUGAUGGGUCUGGGAAAGAUUUUGUUUCGGUGGGGGAUGGGCUCGCGGACUAUCAGCUUGUUGGUGGGGUGAUGGCCUACCAAGGCGGUGACGGGUAGCCGGCCUGGGAGGGUGGACGGUAACACAGGGACUGAGACACGGACCAGACUCCUACGGGAGGCAGCAGUGGAGAAUAUGGCACAAUGGGCGAAAGCAUGAUGCAGCGACGCCGCGUGAGGGAUGGAGGCCUUCGGGUUGUGAACCUCUUUCGCCAGUGAAGCAGGCCUGCCUCGUUUGUGGGUGGGUUGACGGUAGCUGGAUAAGAAGCGCCGGCUAACUACGUG
rnacentral:rRNA from 1 species